rnacentral:rRNA from 1 species
UACGAGGGGGGCGAGCGUUGUUCGGAAUUAUUGGGCGUAAAGGGUGCGUAGGCGGUUUGGUAAGUCUCGUGUGAAAUCUCUGGGCUCAACUCAGAGUCUGCACGAGAAACUGCCGGGCUUGAGUGUGGGAGAGGUGAGUGGAAUUUCCGGUGUAGCGGUGAAAUGCGUAGAUAUCGGAAGGAACACCUGUGGCGAAAGCGGCUCACUGGACCACAACUGACGCUGAUGCACGAAAGCUAGGGGAGCAAACAGG